UUUCCGUAGGUGAACCUGCGGAAGGAUCAUUGUCGAAACCU
rnacentral:rRNA from 38 species